UGUCGUAUGUCAUCAAAUUAAUAAUGUGUCUAAUAAAUUGGCGAGAAAAUAAUAGGGGGAGAGUAAAAAAAAAUUGUCAACGGCGCUGUAAUAGAACUUUUUAUUGACUAUGCCAAAGGCGAGUUAUCUUGUCCGCUUUUUGCAUGGGUUUAUUAUAUUUUUAUAUAAGGGGUGCCCCCACCUGUGCUGCUUGGGUGUACUACUGGCAACAUAACACAACAAACAUACAUCAUACAUCAUUGUACAUUAUAGUCUGGGUGUAUCUUCCCUGAACAACCAUCUGUUGAGUCUGUGGUUCUACAA